rnacentral:rRNA from 1 species
UACGAAGGGGGCGAGCGUUGUUCGGAAUCAUUGGGCGUAAAGGGCGCGUAGGCGGGCCUGUAAGUCGAUUGUGAAAUCCCUGGGCUUAACCCGGGAAUUGCAGUCGAAACUGCAGGCCUUGAGUUCUCAAGAGGAUGGUGGAAUUCCUGGAGUAGUAGUGAAAUACGUAGAUAUCAGGAGGAACACCGGCGGCGAAGGCGGCCAUCUGGUGAGACACUGACGCUGAGGCGCGAAAGCAUGGGGAGCAAACAGG